GACGGUGGCGCCGGAAGGCGAGGGAGGAUAGAGGAUUGGCACAUUUUGGGUUUGGAAGGAGAAGGGUGUGGGGAGAUCACUACGGCUUUCUCAAC